rnacentral:rRNA from 1 species
UACGAGGGGGGCAAGCGUUAUUCGGAUUCACUGGGCGUAAAGGGUGCGCAGGCGGCCGUGUGUGUGAGGCGUGAAAGCCCGGGGCUUAACCCCGGAAUUGCACCUCAAACUACACGGCUAGAGCAUUGGAGAGGGUAGCAGAAUUCAUGGUGUAGCAGUGAAAUGCGUAGAUAUCAUGAGGAAUACCAGAGGCGAAGGCGGCUACCUGGACAAUUGCUGACGCUCAGGCACGAAAGCGUGGGGAGCAAAAGGG